rnacentral:rRNA from 1 species
UACGUAGGUGGCGAGCGUUAUCCGGAAUUAUUGGGUGUAAAGGGUGCGUAGGCGGGAUGCAAAGUCAGAUGUGAAAUGCCGCAGCUUAACUGCGGAGCUGCAUUUGAAACUUGUGUUCUUGAGUGCGGUAGAGGUAAGCGGAAUUCCCAGUGUAGCGGUGAAAUGCGUAGAUAUUGGGAGGAACACCAGUGGCGAAGGCGGCUUACUGGGCCGUUACUGACGCUGAGGCACGAAAGUGUGGGGAG